UCAGUCCAGACAAGGGGUGUCUCCUUAUGCAAACCAGCAUGCAAACGAAAAAACUAACAGGAAAGACUGCGAAUAUUCAGAAUAGCUGUGGUGCUAUGUAUUCAGAUGAAUGCACUCGUUGGAAAAGCGUAAGGCUGGUGGUCUGGGCGUGAGAGUAAGCGCGCUGAUUAGGAAAAGCGGUGUGCUCAUGCAAAGACGUGCUAAUCUAGGCGAGGACUGGCUCACUGUUAGGCAAAUUAAACGCUAACUAGGGAGCGUUAGGGGCCCCGACGACGCCAAGCGACCGUCCUGGAAAUCCUAGUACGGCAAUGAGAACGCCUCAGAGGUUUCCGUGGGGACGCGGCCCUCGCUUGGCCGGUUAACGGGGCCGGGCGGUGCGUCACAAAAGAGCCCCGAGGCGGCCCGAGGGCGGCGCACGCCGGAGAGGGCUCGCCCUCACCUUGAGCGGCAUCUUGGCGAACUCGUUAAGGAUGGGCACGUCGAACACCAGGCGCCUUAGCAGGUGCUGCAGCAUGGACGGGCGGAUGUACCUGCGGAGACAGGCGUGGGGCGGUGGGGGUCUCACCCCCAGGCCGGCCGCCCCCCGCGGCCCCGCCCCCGCCCCCCGGCCCCGCCCCACCUGCAGAGCGACAUGAGACAUUCCUCGAUGACGUCGCGCUGCGCCUUGGUGAGCGAGCGGCCGCGGGACAGGCGGUACACCGUGUGAAGCAUGGAGUCCACCAUGAUGGCGCGGUGCUCGGUCCCCGCGAAGAGCGGCGCACACUUGGUGAUGAGCGGCAGCACCGCCAGGCACAGGAUUGGCUAGUCUAAGACCACGCACAUCACGAGAGCUCCGUCAGUGUCGUCAAGUGCCCGACUGAAGAGGUUCGAGGUCGCCCAGGCGUGCCCCUCCCUGUCCCUGGACCUCCAGCUCUCACAUGCAUCUCCGGCGCACAGCGUCCCAGCAGGUCGAUCAAGGCAGCGUAGAAGGACAUGAUGGCGUGUCCCAGGUGCACCCGGCUCUCCUCGGGGGGCUCCUCCCCAAAGCUGCAGAAGGAGGGGGGUGGCGUGUGGGGGAGGCAGCAAGGGGCACGGGGAAGUUGGGCUCUGCCGCUGAGAAGGGGGUGGGAGACUCACUGCUCACGCCGCCGGUCCCUGCGGACACCCGGGCCAUCCCGCGCCGGGUCCUCAGAGAUGCGAAUGGCCUCUUCGAUGGCGGCCAGCAGCCCAGAGCCGCCCUCACCCCGCAGGGCAGGCCCGAAGCACUCGGGCUUGCGGAUGAGCAGCCGCACCACCACGUUGGCGUUCUCCUCCACACUCUCACCUGGUGGCUCCGGCGGGUCCGGAGGCCUCAUGAGCUGCUGCCCCGGGGACCCUGCCCCAGCAGCCCAGGACCCAGCACCUCAAGGGUUAACCCCGGGCCCCCACUGGCCUCUGGACCCUGCCCCAGCCCGCCUGGAGGAAUCCCUGCCGAGCCAGGACGGGGACCACACCCUGAGGGAGGCUGGCUGGGUCGGGGACCCUGGCCUCCUGCCGGCCGCCACCGCCAACUCCUGACUCACCGUUGACAAAGACGGCGAAGCGCAAAAAGUCCAGGUAGCGCUCACCGCCAAUAGGGUUCCAGCCGAUGUCUGGGUACCCUUUGGCCAGGAGCAUAGGGCAGCUUUGAAGGCCACAACCCGCCAGGUAGGACACGACCUGGGAGUGGAGACGGGCUCAGACCGAGGCCAGACCCGCACCACCUCCUCCCCAAGGCUCCCUUCCCUGCCCAUCGCUGGAGCUCUGUGACCUCAUUCACGUCUGGAUCUCUCGGUGAACGAUAAUCCUCACCCUGAGCCCUCACCUCCCACCUGGACCGUCACGUGGUCUCCUUCCUGGGUUCCCUGCUCCCCCAGUCUAUCCCACGCACAGUAGGACCCUGCAAACAGCCUGAGUCAGGCCAUGUCCCUUCCCUGCUUGGAACCCUCCUGUGGCGCCAUCUCGCUCCAGGUAAAAUGCAGAGGCCCCACAAGACCCUCUGCACAAUCUUCCCUGUCACCUCCCUGCCCUCACUUCCCACCCCUAACCCCUCACUCCCCCUGCUCUAACCAAACUGGUCUCAAACUCAUGAAGCUCACUUCUGCCUCGGGGUCUUUGCACUGGUGGUUCCCCUGCCUGGAAUGCUCUUCCCCUGAUGUCCGCAUGGCCCCUCUCCUCCUUCAGAGCUUUACUUGAAAGUCACUUUCUCGGUGAGGCAUUCUCUGAUCACACUUGUCUAAACUUGGACACCCUCCUGACACUUGAUGUUUCUUUCCCCUGCUCACUUUUUUCAUCCUUAACACUCGUCACUAGCUAAUACACUAUAUGUUUUACUUAUUUAUCUUGUUUAUUAUUCAUCUUCCCAACUAGAACGUCAGCUUCAUGAGGACAAGAAUUUUUGAUUGUCUCAAUCACUGUAGUGAUUGGUCAGGUCUGGCACAUAGUAGGUGCUCAGUAAAUGUUUGUUGAACGAGUAAUACUAUACGAGCAGAUAACUCUUGUUGAGUGCUUACUGUUUUAUCAGUGGUUUCAUGGACUAACCCAUUCUGUGCUCGGAAUAACCCUAUUGGAUUAUUAUAUUCAUUCUACAGAUGAGGAGACAGGGGCCUGGAGAAUUUAAGUCACUUGUCCAAGGCCACACAGCAAGGGAGCAAGGGGAGUUAUUGUAAGGUGCUGAACUCUAGAGCCCAUGCCCUUCGUUGCUACACACAGUAGUGGUGGGGGGGAGCACGGGGUGGGGGCAAGGAAUGUGCCAAGGUCAUGCAGCUGCGGGAGGGUGAAGCGUGGAUUUGCACUCGGCCCUGUGAUGAGUGACUGGGCCCUUGCUCUUUCCCUGCAAAUUAUUCCCCCUCUGAUUCAAUCCCGGACCAUCCCACAGACUGGCUCCCAAAUUAGCAGGUGCCCCAAGGGGCCAGGUGGAGGCCAGGCCUCCUCCUUCCACACCUUCUCCAGGUCCUGCUCCUGCAAUGCCAAGGCCAGCUCAUUGUUGUCGAUGACAGAGGCAGCUGCCACGUCCAGAGGCGUGGAGCCCUGCAUGCCUGUGAGGACAAGAGGCAGAGAGAGUGCUCUUCAGAGGUAUGUAGGUGACAGUCUCACUCCUGCUUGUCUCACCUCCUCUUGGAAGCCCUCCUUGACCAUCCCUUUUACAGCCUGGGUCAGGUGCCUCCACUGGCCCGUGCUUCCCCAGUCCAGGGCUGAGCACCCUGGGCUGUCACUGUGUGUCCUCCACACUGCACUGUGAGCCCUGUGAGGGCCAGGGCCACGGCUGUCUGGGUGGACCCUCAGCACCGCUCAUUAAGGGCUACCUCCAGGGUGGGUUGAGAGUGAGUGUUUGUUGAAUGACCGAACGAGUGAGCGAGCCAGCAGAGAUGGAUGCCUGGAUAGACUGCUGAGCGUGGGCCCCGGGGGACAGCUCUCCCUCCACCCCGGGCUGGGGUGUUCUCACCCAGGCCAAUGCCACUGUUCUCCAGCAGAUAGCUCAGGUGGUCGAACAUGGAGCGCUGGUUCUGCCGGCUGAUGCGACAGAAGUAGCAGAGGAAGCGGCAGCAGCUUGUGACCAUCUUGGGGAAGCGGAUCUCCUGGGGCGGGCAGAGCGGGCCGCUGGUCAGUGCCUCCCCCCGUGGCCCCCUGCCCUGAGCUCCUCGGCCCACACAGGCCCCUUACCUUGGAUUCGCCACCACCGAGGACAUUCACCAUGACCUCCAUGACUGUCUCGUGCAUGCCCAGUGCCCGCAUCAGGUUCGGGUGUUGGUAGAAGACUUUGUUGUUCAUGAUGUUCCUGUGAAUAGGUAGAGUACGGUGGCGUUUCCGGGGGCCGGGUGCGACCCAAGUCCAGGGAGAGCCCCCAGAGCCUUCACCGUCCCCCUUCACAGAUCCCAACCCAUUCAAUCUUUACGUCUACUCUGGAUGGCAGGAAUGAAAUUACCCCGAUUGUACAGAUAAGGAAACUGAGGCAUGGAUCCAAGGUGGGCUCCCCUAGAGCAGAGACCCUCGCCAUGUUGCGUGUCGUAUCCCCAGAUGCCUAGAAAGGGCCUGGCACAAAGUAGGUCCUCAAUAAAUGCUUGCUGAGUGAAUGAAUGAGGCACAUUCGA